rnacentral:lncRNA from 1 species
AUAGUCUUGCGGUUCCCCCAGCUAGGAAUGAAAGCAUCCCCGACGAAACCAAGGCCUUCUGGAAGAUCCAGAUCCCCUGGCUGAGAGUUGAAGUGGUUUCUUGUUGUGACAAGAGGAAUAACAGACUGGGGUCAGGGGACCAACAUGGAUGUGAGUAUUGGUGAGUCCUUCUGGUGAUGGGGUCAUGGUGGAAAGGAUGUGCUCUUCAGGAUCAGACAAGUUCAUGGGACUUUGGACUGUGAAGCCCACAUACAGGCAGCUUCUUCGUCCUGGCUCAGAGAUGCCUAAGACCUUCUGCUCCAUGCAUGGUGUGGCAAAACACAAGCUUUGGAAGAGGCCAAACAGGUUGCCUAAUUUGGUCUUCUCUCCUUGUGCAACAUUCCCAUUUUGUUUACUGACGAGGACGGUCCCCACUUCGGAAGGAGAAUGUCUGGGGGCAUCCGAGAAAGCAGAAACUGAAGAAAGGGGUUCCUCCAUGAUGACAGAGGUACCACGUCCUGUCUGUACUGCAGCUUACAAGCAGGCUUCCUUCCAGAUGGUGUAUGUUUGCAGUACUUGGGCUACGAAAGAAAGUGAGGGAGAAUCUCUUUCUUCCUCAAACAAACCUAUUUUUCAGAUGGGCUGCUGGGAUCCCGUGAUGACUAUUCUUGGUUGUUAA